CCUACGGGUGGCUGCAGUGGGGAAUUUUACACAAUGGGCGAAAGCCUGAUGUAGCAACGCCGCGUGGAGGAUGACGGAUUUAGGUCUGUAAACUCCUUUUAUAGGGGAAGAAAUUUGACGGUACCCUAUGAAUAAGCACCGGCUAACUCCGUGCCAGCAGCCGCGGUAAUACGGGGGGUGCACGCGUUACUCGGAAUCACUGGGCGUAAAGGGAGCGUAGGCGUUCUGUUAAGUCUUGAGUGAAAGCCUGCAGCCUAACUGCAGAACUGCUCAGGAAACUGAUAGAAUUGAGUAUGGAAGAGGUCAGUGGAAUUUCCAGUGUAGGGGUAAAAUCCGUAGAGAUUGGAAGGAAUACCAGAAGCGAAGGCGACUGACUGGGACAUUACUGACGCUGAGGCUCGAAAGCGUGGGGAGCAAACAGGAUUAGAUACCCGAGUAGUC
rnacentral:rRNA from 1 species